rnacentral:rRNA from 1 species
AGUGAACGCUGGCGGUAGGCCUAACACAUGCAAGUCGAACGGCAGCACAGUAAGAGCUUGCUCUUACGGGUGGCGAGUGGCGGACGGGUGAGGAAUACAUCGGAAUCUACUUUUUCGUGGGGGAUAACGUAGGGAAACUUACGCUAAUACCGCAUACGACCUACGGGUGAAAGCAGGGGAUCUUCGGACCUUGCGCGAUUGAAUGAGCCGAUGUCGGAUUAGCUAGUUGGCGGGGUAAAGGCCCACCAAGGCGACGAUCCGUAGCUGGUCUGAGAGGAUGAUCAGCCACACUGGAACUGAGACACGGUCCAGACUCCUACGGGAGGCAGCAGUGGGGAAUAUUAGGCAAUGGGCGCAAGCCUGAUCCAGCCAUACCGCGUAGGUGAAGAAGGCCUUCGGGUUGUAAAGCCCUUUUGUUGGGAAAGAAAAGCAGCAGGUUAAUACCCCGCUGUUCUGACGGUACCCAAAGAAUAAGCACCGGCUAACUUCGUG